UACGUAGGGUGCAAGCGUUAAUCGGAAUUACUGGGCGUAAAGCGUGCGCAGGCGGCUUUGCAAGACAGAUGUGAAAUCCCCGGGCUUAACCUGGGAACUGCAUUUGUGACUGCAAGGCUGGAGUGCGGCAGAGGGGGAUGGAAUUCCGCGUGUAGCAGCGAAAUGCGUAGAUAUGCGGAGGAACACCGAUGGCGAAGGCAAUCCCCUGGGCCUGCACUGACGCUCAUGCACGAAAGCGUGGGGAGCAAACAGG
rnacentral:rRNA from 1 species